rnacentral:rRNA from 1 species
UCCGUAGGUGAACCUGCGGAAGGAUCAUUACUG